CCUANGGGGGGCAGCAGUGGGGAAUUUUGGACAAUGGGGGCAACCCUGAUCCAGCCAUGCCGCGUGCGGGAAGAAGGCCUUCGGGUUGUAAACCGCUUUCGGCCGGAACGAAAUCGCCGGGGAGAACAUCUCCGGUGGAUGACGGUACCGGAAGAAGAAGCACCGGCUAACUACGUGCCAGCAGCCGCGGUAAUACGUAGGGUGCGAGCGUUAAUCGGAAUUACUGGGCGUAAAGCGUGCGCAGGUGGUUCGCUAAGACAGAUGUGAAAUCCCCGGGCUCAACCUGGGAACUGCGUUUGUGACUGGCGGGCUAGAGUGCGGAAGAGGGAGGUGGAAUUCCACGUGUAGCAGUGAAAUGCGUAGAGAUGUGGAGGAACACCGAUGGCGAAGGCAGCCUCCUGGUCUAGCACUGACGCUCAUGCACGAAAGCGUGGGGAGCAAACAGGAUUAGAUACCCGANUANUC
rnacentral:rRNA from 1 species